rnacentral:rRNA from 1 species
UACGAAGGGGGCUAGCGUUGCUCGGAAUCACUGGGCGUAAAGCGCACGUAGGCGGAUUGCUAAGUCAGGGGUGAAAUCCUGGAGCUCAACUCCAGAACUGCCUUUGAUACUGGCGAUCUCGAGUCCGGGAGAGGCGAGUGGAACUGCGAGUGUAGAGGUGAAAUUCGUAGAUAUUCGCAAGAACACCAGUGGCGAAGGCGGCUCACUGGCCCGGUACUGACGCUGAGGUGCGAAAGCGUGGGGAGCAAACAGG